AUCGAGGGGGUAUCGAGGGCUUUACUGUCUCUUACUUCCAAUCAGUGAAAUUGACCUUCCCGUGAAGAGGCGGGAAUAUAUUAAUAAGACGAGAAGACCCUAUGGAGCUUUAACUACUUAACCCAAAGAAAUAAAUUUCAUUACUAAGGAAACAACAACACUCUUUAUGGGUUAACAGCUUUGGUUGGGGUGACCUCGGAGAACAAAAAAUCCUCCGAGCGAUUUUAAAGACUAGACCUACAAGUCGAAUCACACAAUCGUUUAUUGAUCCAAAAAAUUGAUCAACGGAACAAGUACCCUAGGGAUAACAGCGCAAUCAUAC
rnacentral:rRNA from 1 species